UUAUAUUUUUGGUUAGUAAGUUUCGACAUUUCAACUCCUCCAAAAUAAUAGUAAAUUUAUUUUGGACACUUAGAGAGAAUGGCUGUUCUAUUUCCUAUCAUUAUCAUUUCAAUACCAUUUCUUCUGUUUAUUGGCUUAAUUUCUUUGUUAUAUGUUAGCCUGAAGCAAACUAUAAAAUUAGAGGAAGCAGCCGCCGCAUUAGAAGCUAAAAAAAAUAAAGAAAAUGUUCCGCUAGUAACUAAGGAUAAAACUGAGAAGGUUGACACCGCACUGAAAAAGGAAGAGUACUACAAAAGAAUCGUGGAAUUGGUGUUAAUAGCAGUAAUUAAGCAGAAGUUCCUGGAACUUCAAGAUUCGAAAAGCAAUAUGGAUGACAAUUCUAUUGAAAAGAAAAAGAGACACAUUAUUAAUAUUCAGCAGUUAUGGAAGUAUAUUGUGAAGGAAAAUUUGAAAGCUCAACUCUUAAUGCACUAAUAUCAUCUUAUAAUUACUGAAUUGCAAUAUCCUUGGUAACAAAGAAUAUUCUAAAUCGAUUGUCGACAUCUCGUGUCUGCUGCGACAUAUGAGCCAAUGCUAAUAAAAGCCAACAUAUAUGAUUGCAAGGUUAUUGGUUAGCACAUAUACUGCUGGACUAAGGAUACACAAACUAAAUCCCAAGACCAAUAAACGUAGAAUGUUUUUAACUUUAAAUACAUUCCAAAAUGUUACUCAUAUAUCAGCAGCAUAUAUAGAUAUAUAAAGAACUUGGACCUUCCUUAAUUAAUACAUUCGUUAUUGGAGUCUCACGGUGCUGGACUAAGGAUACAUAAACUUACAUGAUGUGUCAUAAUUACUUUCGCAUAUAUAUAUAUAUAUAGAAAGGAUUUGGACCAUACUUAGUUAAUACAUUCGUUAUUGGAAUCUCACACUGCUGGACUAAGGAUAUAUAAACUUACAUGAUGUGUCAUUAUUACUUGCGCAGUAUAUAUAGAUAUAUAAAGGAUUUGGAACUUACUUUGUUAAUACAUUCGUUAUUGGGGUCUCUCAGUACUGGACUAAGGAUACAUAAACUUACAUGAUGUGUCAUAAUUACUUUCGUAUAUAUAGAUAUAUAAAGGAUUUGGAACUUACUUAGUUGAUACAUUCGUUAUUGGAGUCUCAAACUGCUGGACUAAGGACACAUAAACUUAUAUGAUGUGUCAUGAUUAUUUGCGCAGUAUAUAUACAUAUAUAAAGGAUUUGGAACUUACUUAGUUAAUACAUUCAUUAUUGGACUCUAACACAUAUGGACUAAGGCCAUAACUUACAUGAUGUGUCAUGAUUACUUGCGGUAACAUUAUAUUCACAAUGUUACUUAUAUUAUAUAACACCUGCGGUUACGUUAUAUUCAAAAUGUUACCUAUAUAUUGUAUAAGACUAAGUGAUAAUAUUUUCAGCAGUAUAUAUAGAUAUAUAAAGGAUUUGGAACUUACUGCGUUAAUACAUUCGUUAUUGGAGUCUCACACUGCUGGACUAAGGAUACAUAAACUUACAUGAAUUGUCAUGAUUACUUUCGGAUAUUCAAAAUGUUACUUAUGUUGAGUAACACAAAAUAGCAGUCACUUAUAUAAAUAAGUAAAAGAUUUGGAUUUUACUAAGUCAAUACAUUCGUUAAUGGAGUCUCUUAUAAUCGUAAUGGUUUCAGAUAAGGGCUCUUGCUAAUUAUUAGGGCUCGUAGUAGGAUGUUCGGUGAACAUAACACAAACUCCACAUAAAUGCAAAACAACUGUGAAUAUAGUUACGUUUUUAACAUCAAGAUAAAAGCCACAUCAAGAUUAUUAAUGAAAAAUAUCUGAAUAAAGAAAUUGAUAACAGAAGUAUAGGAAUUGCAGCAGUUCUAGUUAGCAGCCAUACAUGCUUUGAAGUAAUGAAAAUGAAAUGGCUUUGCUUUAUGAUACAAUAGGUAUAUGGAUACCUCUCUCUGGAUCAGAAAAUCUUCUUCACUUCACUUUGCAGUAGUGACUGUAGUUUCUUUGAAAGCUUAGCGUCCUGCAGCACUAAUAGGAGUGAUAAAAAAAACGGACAUCAAUGAAGUAAUUUUACUAGUGACGUCUAAAAAGAAGUAUCAUUACGAGCGAAAAUUAAAGAACAGAUAUAAUAAUUCUCUCUAAAUAAAUUUUUUA